GACAGAGGUGCCGAGCGUUAGGCGGAAUCACUGGGCUUAAAGCGUGUGUAGGCGGAUCGUUAAGUGCCUUGUGAAAUCCCCCGGCUCAACCGGGGAACUGCUGGGCAUACUGGCGGUCUUGAGCAGCUCAGGGGCAACUGGAACAAACGGUGGAGCGGUGAAAUGCGUAGAUAUCGUUUGGAACGCCCAUGGUGAAAACAGGUUGCUGGGGGCUUGCUGACGCUGAGACACGAAAGCCAGGGGAGCAAACGGG
rnacentral:rRNA from 1 species